AAAACGACUCUCGGCAACGGAUAUCUCGGCUCUCGCAUCGAUGAAGAACGUAGCGAACUGCGAUACUUGGUGUGAAUUGCAGAAUCCCGUGAACCAUCGANUCUUUGAACGCAAGUUGCGCCCGAAGCCAUUAGGCCGAGGGCACGUCUGCCUGGGCGUCACG
rnacentral:rRNA from 1 species